rnacentral:rRNA from 1 species
UAAGGAAUAUUGCUCAAUGGGAGAAAUCCUGAAGCAGCAACGCCGCGUGGAGGAUGAAGGGUCUAUGACUUGUAAACUCCUGUAAAGAAGGAAAAAAUUCCCAUUAGAUGGGAGAUGAUGGUACUUCUGGAGUAAGCCCCGGCUAACUACGUGCAAGCAGCCGCGGUAAUACGUAGGGGGAAAGCGUUGUCCGGAUUUACUGGGUGUACAGGGUGCUCAGGCGGAUUGGUAAGUCAGAGGUGAAAUCUUACAGCUUAAAUGUGAAACUGCCUUUGAUACUGCAAGCCUAGAGUAUGGAAGAGAGUGAUGGAAUAUCUGGUGUAGCAGUGAAAUGCGUAGAUAUCAGAUAGAACACCAAUGGCGAAGGCAGUCACUUGGUCCAUUACUGACGCUAAAGCACGAAAGCGUGGGUAGCAAACA